CUUCCACUUGCCUGUGGAGACGUUGGGCCAACUGAUCUUCUUGGUAUACUUUAAUCCAGUCUCAGGAACAAGCAUCAGUGACUCUGGCUAAAAGCUCUAGAUAAUACUCAUUCUCCGGGCAGCAGACAAAAGACUUGGAGACAUACACAGCUGAAGGAAAUGAAAAGGCAACAAGGCUAAGAGAACAAAGAUGAGCAUUGCCACGGUCCGGAGGAUGGUGGUGGAGGAAGCCUUCUCUACGCUGGUGCCUCUAUUGGAACUUUCAGGAAAUGAACAUGUGUGUUUUGUGUUUUUCCCUUUACACCUCAAGAAACUUGGAACAAUGAUUUUCUUUUAUGGAGAAGCUUACAUUUAAGCAGAUUAAAAAUUAGCCCCAAGAAUAGAAAUACAGAAUCAAAGUCCACAAAUUUAAUUAUUGUUUCCCCUGGUUAGCUGAUCUUCAAUUCUGAUAUCUUCCUCUCUCUGGUGUAGGGGAGUAAGGGUUAUACCCAUUUUGAAAUUCGUUGUUGUAUUACGACUACUAAUACACAGGGAAAGUUUCUAUGCAUUCAUUUAUUCAUCAAUAGAUAUUUAUUAGGACUCACUGUUUAUGGAACUGCCCAAGAUAUUGUGGGAGAUACAAGGGAGAAGAAAACAUCAACCCUGUUCUCAGAGUGUUUAAAGUCUACCAGGACUUCAAACGUGUCCAUUGCACACGUAAGCAUAAUAAAAGUUAAAAGGAGGUAUGCUAUAAAAUGGAUCAAAAUCAAAGGCUUUAAGAAGAGGAAAGGCAUUCCUUCUAGCUUUGGUCAGAUUUGGUCCACAAUCAAAUCAAAUUCUUAUUAAGUUCAUAUUCUCUUACUGACAAACUAAACUGCUGCAAAAAAUAAUCCUCCCCCAUGGGAGAUCUUACAGACAUACCCUAAUUGCCCUAGCUAAGUUUAGAAUGUAGCUCUGAAAAGAAUGACAAAAGACCUUGAAGAGGCAAGCAAGAGAUUUUGAAAUAUCUGGUCUAUAAGGGUAAAAGACUGUAUGAUACCAAAGCCUCAGGGUACCCAGCUGGGGUCAAUCUAUAUUAAUUGCUAACACCUAGAGGUAAUUAGCAGUAAUUACCCAAAGGAGUGAUGGGAUGGCCAGACGGACUUAAAGGCAGCAAUUCCAGGAGCUCCUACCAUGUUGGGAACCUAACAGCUUCUAGGUAACAAGAAAUAAAUUAGGUUUCCCCAGCAAUUUAUGUAGAUAGUUUUAAGAUUGUAUUACAAAGGACCCCGUGGGGCAAGCUUUUAUAAAUAUAUUACUAAAACUCGUAGCCCUUGCUACCCAGAGGUGAAGUUUAUUUUCUCACCCUUUGAGUCUGAGCUGAUCUUACCACUUGCUUUAACCGAUGAAUAUGGGGAAAGAGAAAUUGUGCAACUUUUGCUAGUAAGUCUUACAAGACCUGCAGCUUCCAGCUUCACCUUCUAGGAACAUUGCCCUGAGAUCAUCUUGUGAGGCAGCUGGUCUAGCCUCCUGGAGGAGAAGCAGUUUUGUGGAGAAGAUUCCAGGCAUCCCUGCCAACAAGCACCAACUCCAGAUAUAUGAGGAAGAGUAGUUUACAACUGACACUGUUUGGAAUUGCUGGCACAUGGUGA
rnacentral:lncRNA from 1 species